GACUAACGCUGGCGGCGUGCUUAACACAUGCAAGUCGAACGGAAAGGCUCUGCUUUUGUGUUGUGCUCGAGUGGCGAACGGGUGAGUAACACGUGGGUAAUCUGCCCUUGGCUUUCUGAUAUCUUCAAGAGACUGGGGCUAAUACCGGAUAGGAGAUCCUGCUGCAUGUUGGUGUUUGGAAAGUGUAGGCGAUUGGGGAUGGACUCGCGGCUUAUCAGCUUGUUGGUGGUGUAGUGGCUUACGAAGGCUUUGACGACUAGCCGGCCUGAGAGGGUGACCGGCCACAGUGGGACUGAGAUACAGCCCAGACUCCUACGGGAGGCAGCAGUAGGAAAUAUUGCACAAUGGGCGUAAGCGUGAUGCAGCAACGCCGCGUGCGGGAGAUCGGCCUGCGGGUUGUAAACUGCUUUCGCUUGUGACAAAGAGUGAGUGACGGUAAUGUGUAAAGAAGCACCGGCUAACUACGUG
rnacentral:rRNA from 1 species